rnacentral:rRNA from 1 species
CCUUGGCAUGACUAGUACGGCGAGUGACAGGCAGAGCUCAGAUUUGAAAGGCACUUUUGUGCCGUUGUAUUCUGAAGUUAGGGUCCUGAGAAACGAUGCUUAAGUCUUCUGGAAAGGAGCGCCAUGGAGGGUGAUAGCCCCGUCUAGCAUUGACCUCAUAUAGGAUCUUAACAUGGAGUCGAGUUGUUUGGGAAUGCAGCUCAAAUGGGUGGUAUGCUCCAUCUAAAGCUAAAUAUCUGCGAGAGACCGAUAGUAAACAAGUACUGUGAGGGAAAGAUGAAAAGAACUUUGAAAAGAGAGUGAAAAAGUACGUGAAAUUGUUGAAAUGGAAGGGUAGGCCGCUAACCAUGUAGAGCCGUGUUUGGGGGGAAGAUAAAUGCUGUAGAAUGUAGCUCCUCGGAGUAUUAUAGAUGCAGUUCAUAUUCCCACCCGAGCGCGAGGAUCUCAGGUUCUACUAAAUGGUGGUCUACCACCCGUCUUGAAACACGGACCCAACGUUUAGUAGAACCUGAGAUCUCGCGCUGGGUGGGAAUAUGAACUGCAUCUAUUAUACUCCGAGGAGCUACAUUCUACACAAUUAUUCUUCAACCGGCUCUACAUGGGUUAGGGCUACCUUCAUUUCACAAUUUCACGUAUUUUUACUCUUUUUCAAAGUUCUUUUCCUCUUUCCUCACAGUCUGUUUUCUAUCGGUCUUCCAGAAUUUUAAUUUUAGAUGGGAGCCAACCCAUUUGUGCUGCAUUCAAACAAUUGACUCCUUGUUAGAUCUAUAUGAAGGUCAUGCUAGACGGGGGCUAUCACUCAUGGGGGUUCUUUUCUCGAAAAAUUAAACAUUGAUUCUCAGGGACCCUAACUUCAGAAAACAAACGGGCCCAAAAGGCGCUUUACAAUUCGAAACUUCUGGCGUGUCACAUGCCCCGUACUAAGGGCAUCUCGGGGUGGGUUUCCCUUCUCGCUCUAAUGGGUAUUGC